GUGAAUCAUCGAAUUUUUGAACGCAAAUUGCGCCUUUUUGGGUUGGCGUGUGUGUUUGAGGGCACGAUUUAAUAAAUAAUGUGCUGCGUUUUCUGUUGCCCACGUUGAUGAGCCUUCCGAGAGUCUUACAUUUUUGGUGGCGCAUAAUGAGCAUGGAGAACGUUUUUUUCAGUUCGAGUGUAGUAAAAUCUUUGGUUGGGUUGUGAAAAAACAUAAUCGCGCAAUGGGUGUGUCAAUUUCU
rnacentral:misc_RNA from 1 species